CUACGGGCUGCUCCAGUGGGGAAUAUUGGGCAAUGGGCGCAAGCCUGACCCAGCAACGCCGCGUGAGGGAAGAAGGUUUUCGGAUUGUAAACCUCUGUCCUUGGGGACGAAGAAGUGACGGUACCCAAGGAGGAAGCUCCGGCUAACUACGUGCCAGCAGCCGCGGUAAUACGUAGGGAGCAAGCGUUGUCCGGAAUUACUGGGCGUAAAGGGUGCGUAGGCGGCAUAUUAAGUCAGGUGUGAAAUACUCGGGCUCAACCCGGGGGCUGCAUUUGAAACUGAUAUGCUUGAGUGUGAGAGCGGAAAGUGGAAUUCCUAGUGUAGCGGUGGAAUGCGUAGAUAUUAGGAGGAACACCAGUGGCGAAGGCGACUUUCUGGCUCAUAACUGACGCUGAGGCACGAAAGCGUGGGGAGCAAACAGGAUCAGAUACCCUUGUAGUC
rnacentral:rRNA from 1 species